rnacentral:rRNA from 1 species
AGCGAACGCUGGCGGCGUGCCUAACACAUGCAAGUCGAACGUGAAAGGGAGCAAUCCCAAGUAAAGUGGCGUACGGGUGAGUAACACGUAGGUAAUCUACCCCAGAAUCUAGAAUAACCGGCCGAAAGGCUGGCUAAUACUGGAUAGAGCGACGGAAUCCGUAAUUGGGUUUUUCGGGAAAGGGAGCCUGUAAAAAGGCCUUCGUUCUGGGAUGAGCCUGCGUCCCAUCAGCUAGUUGGUGAGGUAAAAGCUUACCAAGGCAAUGACGGGUAGCUGGUCUGAGAGGACGAUCAGCCACACUGGAACUGAAACACGGUCCAGACUCCUACGGGAGGCAGCAGUGGGGAAUCUUGCGCAAUGGACGAAAGUCUGACGCAGCAACGCCGCGUGAGUGAAGAAGGCCUUCGGGUUGUAAAGCUCUGUCGAGUGGGACGAAAAUGCUUGGAGUUCACAGCUCCAGGAACUGACGGUACCACUAAAGGAAGCACCGGCUAACUCCGUG